UGGAAGUGAUGACAAGGAGAUAAUUGGGCGUGUUUGGCUGGAGUGUGAGUGAGAAAGGGAUUUAAUCCCAGUUUGGGGCGGGGGUUGUGUGUGUGUGGGGGUGUGAGGGGGCUCUCCUGGGGACACUGAUGGCAGUGCUGAGCCAGGAGUGCAUCUGAGGCGUGUUGGGCACCUCUGGGGCCCCUCUGCAACACUGCCGGUGAUUAAAGCCCCAAAAAAAGCUCCCCAGGAGAGCCCCAGGCAGCCCAAAGCUCUCCCAGGGUCACCAGUGAUCCUGUGCUCUGAUCUCA
rnacentral:snoRNA from 1 species